UCUGAGUAGUCCUGUAACUAUAAAACCAGUUAAUGUAUAGUGAAAACUUUCUGCAAAAGAAAUCUUCAGGCCAAGAUAGAUUUACUGGCAAAUCCUACCAAACAUAUAAUAAAGUAAAAUAUAUGCAAUCUCUUCCAGAAUAUAGAAGAGGAAGGAAAAUAUCCUAACUAGUUUUAUGAGGUCAUAUUUACCUUGAUAUCAAAAUCAGACAAAGAGUACAAAAGAUUGAAACUAUAGACAAAUAUCUCUCAUGGAUUUAGAUGCCGAAAUACUCAAUCAAAAUAUUAGUAAAUUGGAUCAGGAAUAUCAAAAGGAAUCAUACACCAUGACCAAGUGGGAUUUAUACUAGAUAUAAAGGCUGGUUUAUCAUUCAGAAAAAUAAUUUAAAUGUAUCUACUAUAUCAGUAAAUUAAAAGAAAUCUAUGAUUAUGUAAAUUGAAAUAGAAAAAGCAUUUGACAUACUCAAAACCCAGUUCAUGAAAAAAACUUUCAGCAGGUUAGGAAUAGAAAGGAAUCACUUCAACCUGAUAAAGAGCAUCAGCAAAGCUUUCAGGUAACAUCAUACUUAACAGGGAAAGACUGAAUGCCUUACCCCUAAAAUUGGGAACAAGUCAAGGCAACAAUGUCUACUUUCACCACACUUAUUCAACAUACUACUGGAAGUUCUAGGCUCUUCAGUAAGAUGAGAAAUAAAAAUAAAAAGCAUACAUAUUAGAAAGGAAGACAUAAAACGUUCCCUAUUUGCAGAUAACAUGAUUGUCUACAUGGAACAUCCCAAGUAAUCUACCAAAAAUUCCUAUAAAUAAUAAGUGAGUGCAUUAGUCUACUAGUGCUGCCAUAACAAAAUACCACAGUCUGGGUGGCUUAAACAACAGAAAUUUAUUUUCUCAAAGUUCUGGAGGCUAGAAGUCCAAGAUCUUAAUGCUGAGAAAUUUGAUUUCUGGUAAGGCCUCUCUUCCUUGGGUUGCAAACUGUCUGCCUCACUAUGUCCUCACAUGGCCUUUCCUCUGUGUAUAUGUUCCUGUGUGCCUUUCUCUUCCCCUUCUUAUAAGGAUACCAUUCUUACUGCAUUAGGGCUCUACUCUUAUGACCUCAUUUAACCUUAAUUACUGUCUAAGAGGCCCUAUCUCCAAAUACAGUCACACUGGGGCUUAGGGCUUCAGCAUAGGAAUUUUGAAGGGAUAGAAUUCAGUCCAUAACAAUGAGUUUAGUCACAUUCUAGAAUACAAGAUCAAAACACAAAAAUCUGUCAUAUUUCUAAAUACUAGUAUUGAAGAAUUGAAAACAAAAAAGAUACCACAUACAAGAAUUUCCCUCAAAAGGAAAUAUGUUGGUAUAAUUCUAACUACAUAUACAUAGAAUCUAUCUUCUGAAACUGAAAUGCUGAUGAAAGAAAUCAGAGAAUACCUAAAUAUAUGUAAAGUCAUACCAUGCUCAUGGAUUGGAAGAUUCAACAUAGAUGGUGCUGAUGAGCUACUCUCAACUACAAGGAACAGAAUAACUGGAGAAGGCAUCUUAGACCAAUGCUGGGCCAGCUGGGAACCUGGGGAACUUCAGAGCAGAGCCCAACUUUCUGCCCUGGACUGUAAGCUGCCAUGUGAAGAAGCCCAUGGGGCAAAGAACUGAGUGUGGCCACUGGCCAAUAUCCAACAAGUUGCUGCAGCCUAACAGCCCACAUGGAAAUGAAUCCUGCCAACAACCACAUGAACUUGGAAAUGGAUCCUUACCCAGUUGAGCCUCGUAUGAGCCACAGCCCUGAAAAGACCUUGAUUGCAGCCUCUUGAGAGACCAUGAAACAAAGGACCCAGCUAAACACUGCCCAAAUUCCUGACCUGCAUCAACUGUGUGAUAAUAAAUAUGGGUUGUUUUAACCCUCUACAUUUGUAGUAGUUUUGUAUGCAUCAGUAGAUAAUUAAUAGAUGGAACAACUGGAACUGUCCUACAUUUAUGGUGGCAUAACCAUCUUGUAAAACCGUUUGGCAAUUUCUUAUAAAGAUAAACAUGCACCGAACUUACCCUAAGACCCAGCAAUUGCACUAGGUAUUUACCCAUGAAAAAUAAAAGUAUAUGUCCAAACAAAGAUUCAUACAUGAAUAUUCCUAGCAGCUUUACACAUAAUAGCCCACAAGUAGAAACAACCUGAAUGCCAAUCCAUAGAUGAAUGAAUAAAGUAUGGAAUAUCCAUACAAUGGAAUAAUACUCAGCAGUAAAGGAGAAUGAACUGAUCAAUAUAUGUAAAAAUGUUGAUGAAUCUCAACAUAUCAUGUUCAGAGAAAGAGACUAGACAUAAAAGAAUAUAUUAUAUAUGAUGCCAUUUAUAUUAAUUCUAGAAAGCACAAAUCUAAUUUAUGACAAUAGAAACAGAUCAGUGGUUAUCUACACCUAGAGGUGUGCAGUUAGGAUAGCAAAAGCUUGCAAGACUGACUUUUAGGGCUGUUGCCAUAUUCUAGAUCUUGGUACAACAGUAGUUACAAUGAGUUGUCAUAAUUCAUUGAGCUGUUCACUUAAAAUUGGCACAUGAUUUGUAUAUAAACUAUUCCUUGAUAAAGUUGGUUUUUAAAGAAAUAUAACUCAAAAUGGAUUAAAGACUGAAACAUCAGACCUGAAACUGUAAAACUCCUAGAAGAAAGCAGAGGGUCAAAGCUCCAUGACAUUGGUCUUGGCAAUGAUUUCUUGGAUAUGACACCAAAAGCACAGGCAAAAAAAGCAAAAAUAGGCAGAUGGGACUGCAUCAAACUAAGAAGUUUCUACACAGCAAAAUGAAUAAUUAACAAUGAAAAAGCAACGUCCAGAAUGGGAGAAAAUAUAUACGUGAACCAUGUAUCUGAUAAAGGGUUGAUACCCAGAAUAAAAAAUUCCUACAAUGUAAUAGCAAAACAACCAAAUAAACCAGUUUUCAAAAUAGGACAAACCAGUUUUCAAAAUAGGACAAAAUAGGACAAAGGGGCAUCUGGGUGGCAAAGUCGGUUAAGCAUCCAUCUCUUGAUUUUGGCUCAGGUCAUGAUCUUGAAAUUUGUGAGGUUGAUCCCUGUGUCAGGCUCUACAUUGACAGUGUGGAGCCUGCUUGGGAUUCUCUCCCUCCCUCUCUCUCUGCCCCUCCCUCACUUGCAUGCACUAUAAACAAACAAACAAACUUAAAAAAAAUAAAAUGCAGAAAGGGUUUAAAUAGACAUUUCUCCAAAGACAACAUACAAAUGGCCAACAGGUACAUAAAAAGUUGCUCAACACCAAUAAUCUUCGAACACCUGUUAGGAUGGAUAUUAUUAAAAAAAAGAAAAGAAAAAGAAAAAAACAGAAAACAAACAAAUGGUAAGUAUUCAUGAGUCUGUGGAGAAAUUGGAAUUCUUGUAUGCUGUUGGUGAGGAUGUAGAUGGUACAGCCACUAUGGAAAACAGUAUGGAGGUUUCCCCAAAAUUUAAAAAUAGUAAUACCAUAUGAUCCAACAAUCCCACAUCUGGGUGUUUUUCCAAGAGAAUUGAAAUCAGGAAUCUUGAAGAGAUAUUUGCACUCCCUUGUUCAUUGCAGCCUUAUUCACAAUAUCCAAGAUGUGGAAACAACCUAA